AAGAGAAACCCUAACCCUGAAAACCCUACCCGGUUCCCUUUCAACCACACAAGCACCCUAACAGCAGCAGCAGUUGCAAACAAAAUGAAAACACAAGAAAGAAAGGGCUAGGAAGAAACAGGGGGGAAACAGAGGGAGGCAGGGGAGGAAGAGAGGCACGGCUAGCAACGGUGGGCAUCGCCGUCGCCGCCGAGUUGCCAGCCGCCGCCGCCAUGUCACACCGAAGGAAGAACGGGAGUGAGGGAGCUUAGCCGCGGGAAGAGGAGGCGCGGGUCUGACUCGUCCGCGCAGAUCUGCCCGUUCCGACCCGUUACCGUCGCGAGGAGGAGAAGUCCCUGUCGCCGUUCCGUGUGGCAGCGCCGUCAUUGUUGUUCUUGGAGAUCCACGAUCAGAGGACACCCGCGCGGGGGUAGAGGACGUUGCUGCUGUCGCUGCUGUUAGAGCUGCCGCCAGCUGCGUCACCACCGCGCCUUGCCUCACCGCUGUUGACCUCUCCAUAGUCCACUGUCGCCGGAGCUCAUGCCAUCACCGAUUGAGCACCACGAAGAACAGCGCCGCGUGAAUCAGGGAAAGGAGAUGCCUUUCUGCCUCUGCUCCUGGGUUUUGGAUUCUGACCAGGCGCCACUGCCGCUGUGGAGUUAAUGUUGCUCUGGUCUUGCCCUGGCUCCAUUUGGAACCGCUGCUGUUGGUAAGUUACAUUGUCGCUGCCUUUACUGGAGAUGGUUGCUGACUCUGUUUAGAGAUGUAUGUUACAACUAGUAUUCGUUUUGGAGACUGCUUCAUCUGUUGCUGGAACUACUAACGGAACCAUCGCUGAGGCUUGUGUCCUUUGGUUCGGUCAGUAUUCUUUAGCUACCGUAAGUACCUCUGCCUCGAGACCUUGCCAGUUCAUAUCCCGUGAUGUGUUUUAAGGUUUCGCAAUAAUAUUGUUUUCUAGGAUUAAGCUAUCGGAGCCUCAUGUUGCGCGUAAGGGUUGUAAUUGCUGCCGCAAAAGUGAACAAAGCUGUGAUGCGAGCUGCCGGUAACUUCAGGUUGAUAGAGACUUCCGGUGGCGCGUUUGAGUUAUGGAAUUGCGUUUUGAGGAUAUGGGUGCAGAAGUUACGAAGAGCUUAUUUAAU